rnacentral:rRNA from 2 species
UCAUCUCCGGGGGUAGAGCACUGUUUCGGCUAGGGGGCCAUCCCGGCUUACCAACCCGAUGCAAACUGCGAAUACCGGAGAAUGUUAUCACGGGAGACACACGGCGGGUGCUAACGUCCGUCGUGAAGAGGGAAACAACCCAGACCGCCAGCUAAGGUCCCAAAGUCAUGGUUAAGUGGGAAACGAUGUGGGAAGGCCCAGACAGCCAGGAUGUUGGCUUAGAAGCAGCCAUCAUUUAAAGAAAGCGUAAUAGCUCACUGGUCGAGUCGGCCUGCGCGGAAGAUGUAACGGGGCUAAACCAUGCACCGAAGCUGCGGCAGCGACGCUGAUGCGUUGUUGGGUAGGGGAGCGUUCUGUAAGCCUGCGAAGGUGGCCUGUGAGGGUUGCUGGAGGUAUCAGAAGUGCGAAUGCUGACAUAAGUAACGAUAAAGCGGGUGAAAAGCCCGCUCGCCGGAAGACCAAGGGUUCCUGUCCAACGUUAAUCGGGGCAGGGUGAGUCGACCCCUAAGGCGAGGCCGAAAGGCGUAGUCGAUGGGAAACGGGUUAAUAUUCCCGUACUUGGUGUUACUGCGAAGGGGGGACGGAGAAGGCUAUGUUGGCCGGGCGACGGUU